UAUUAUAACUUGAGGUAUUCA
rnacentral:piRNA from 1 species